UACGUAGGGUGCGAGCGUUAAUCGGAAUUACUGGGCGUAAAGCGUGCGCAGGCGGUUGUGCAAGACAGAGGUGAAAUCCCCGGGCUUAACCUGGGAAUGGCCUUUGUGACUGCACGGCUAGAGUGUGUCAGAGGGAGGUAGAAUUCCACGUGUAGCAGUGAAAUGCGUAGAGAUCGGGAGGAACACCAGCGGCGAAGGCGGCAAACUGGAUAGGCACUGACACUCAACAACGAAAGCGUGGGGAGCAAACAGG
rnacentral:rRNA from 1 species